UAGGGAAUCUUCCACAAUGGACGCAAGUCUGAUGGAGCAACGCCGCGUGAGUGAAGAAGGUUUUCGGACCGUAAAGCUCUGUUGUUGGUGAAGAAGGAUAGAGGUAGUAACUGGCCUUUAUUUGACGGUAAUCAACCAGAAAGUCACGGCUAACUACGUGCCAGCAGCCGCGGUAAUACGUAGGUGGCAAGCGUUGUCCGGAUUUAUUGGGCGUAAAGCGAGCGCAGGCGGAAGAAUAAGUCUGAUGUGAAAGCCCUCGGCUUAACCGAGGAAUUGCAUCGGAAACUGUUUUCUUGAGUGCAGAAGAGGAGAGUAGAACUCCAUGUGUAGCGGUGGAAUGCGUAGAUAUAUGGAAGAAUACCAGUGGCGAAGGCGGCUCUCUGGUCUGCAACUGACGCUGAGGCUCGAAAGCAUGGGUAGCGAACAGGAUUAGAUACCCUGGUAGUCCAUGCCGUAAACGAUGAGUGCUAAGUGUUGGGAGGCUUCCGCCUCUCAGUGCUGCAGCUAACGCAUUAA
rnacentral:rRNA from 1 species